UGGGGAAUAUUGCACAAUGGGGGAAACCCUGAUGCAGCGACGCCGCGUGAACGAAGAAGGUAUUCGUAUCGUAAAGUUCUGUCCUAUGGGAAGAUAAUGACAGUACCAUAGAAGAAAGCUCCGGCUAAAUACGUGCCAGCAGCCGCGGUAAUACGUAUGGAGCGAGCGUUGUCCGGAAUUAUUGGGCGUAAAGGGUACGCAGGCGGUUUAAUAAGUCGAAUGUUAAAGAUCGGGGCUCAACCCCGUAAAGCAUUGGAAACUGAUAAACUUGAGUAGUGGAGAGGAAGGUGGAAUUCCUAGUGUAGUGGUGAAAUACGUAGAUAUUAGGAGGAAUACCAGUAGCGAAGGCGACUUUCUGGACACAAACUGACGCUGAGGUACGAAAGCGUGGGGAGCAAACAGG
rnacentral:rRNA from 2 species